rnacentral:lncRNA from 1 species
UUUUAAGGAGGUAAGAUUGUUACAAUUCAAUUUUUAUAGUCAAAAAUUCAAAUGUUGACUAGUUAAGGUCAAAAUCAAUUAAAGACUAAAAUGAAAUUAAAUAUUUUAUUUGAGUUUAUUUUGCAAUUGGCAAAAUAUGAAGGUUAAAUUGGAUACAUUUCAAAGUUUGGAAUUUAUUUAUAUACUUUUGGAAGUUAUAGGAUUAAAUGUCACUCAAGAACGGAGUUGAAGGACUUAUUUUGCAAAUUUGGGUAUGUGGACCAUUAAAUUCAACCUUUGACCCAUUUUAUCUCAAAUUCACACACUCACACACACAAAAUAAAUGGGCAGAAGCUGGAGAAGCCGAGAAAGAAGGGAAAAACUAAAGAAAGAAGGAAGGAAAAAAA